rnacentral:rRNA from 1 species
GACGAACGCUGGCGGCGUGCCUAAUACAUGCAAGUCGAACGCUUUUUCUUUCACCGGAUCUUGCUCCACCGAAAGAAAAAGAGUGGCGAACGCGUGAGUAACACGUGGGUAACCUGCCCAUCAGACGGGGAUAACACUUGGGAACAGGUGCUAAUACCGUAUAACACUAUUUUCCGCAUGGAAGAAAGUUGAAACGCGCGCUUGCUUCACUGAUGGAUGGCCCCCCGGUGAAUUAGCUAGUUGGUGCGGUAACGGCUCACCAAGGCAACGAUGCAUAGCCGACCUGAGAGGGUGAUCGGCCACACUGGGACUGAGACACGGCCCAGACUCCUACGGGAGGCAGCAGUAGGGAAUCUUCGGCAAUGGACGAAAGUCUGACCGAGCAACGCCGCGUGAGUGAAGAAGGUUUUCGGAUCGUAAAACUCUGUUGUUAGAGAAGAAUAAGGAUGAGAGUAAAACGUUCAUCCCUUGACGGUAUCUAACCAGAAAGCCACGGCUAACUACGUGCCAGCAGCCGCCGUAA